rnacentral:rRNA from 1 species
UCCACGCCGUAAACGGUGCGCACUAGGUGUAGAGGGUAUCCGACCCCCUCUGUGCCGAAGUUAACACAUUAAGUGCGCCGCCUGGGAAGUACGACCGCAAGGUUGAAACUCAAAGGAAUUGACGGGGGCCCGCACAAGCGGUGGAGGAUGUUGUUUAAUUCGACGCAACGCGAAGAACCUUACCUGGGCUUGAACUGCAGGGUAAACCCAUGGAAACAUGGGCUGUGGC